rnacentral:rRNA from 1 species
GAAGGGGGCUAGCGUUGCUCGGAAUUACUGGGCGUAAAGGGAGCGUAGGCGGACUGUUAAGUUAAAGGUGAAAGCCCAGGGCUCAACCUUGGAAUUGCCUUUGAUACUGGCAGUCUUGAGUACGGAAGAGGUAUGUGGAACUCCGAGUGUAGAGGUGAAAUUCGUAGAUAUUCGGAAGAACACCAGUGGCGAAGGCGACAUACUGGUCCGUUACUGACGCUGAGGCUCGAAAGCGUGGGGAGCAAACAGGAUUAGAUACCCUGGUAGUCCACGCCGUAAACGAUGAGUGCUAGUUGUCGGCAUGCAUGCAUGUCGGUGACGCAGCUAACGCUUUAAGCAUUCCGCCUGGGGAGU